ensembl:snoRNA SNORD115 Small nucleolar RNA SNORD115
GAAUCAAUGAUGAGACCUCAAAUUUUCUCAGACAUGAUGAUGACUUAAAAAUAAAGCUCAGUAGGAUUACAUUGAGUC